rnacentral:rRNA from 1 species
AGGGAGCUAGCGUUGUUCGGAAUCACUGGGCGUAAAGCGCACGUAGGCGGAUGUGUCAGUCAGGGGUGAAAUCCCGGAGCUCAACUUCGGAACUGCCCUUGAUGCAGCACGUCUUGAGUCCGGAAGAGGUGGGUGGAAUUCCUAGUGUAGAGGUGAAAUUCGUAGAUAUUAGGAAGAACACCGGUGGCGAAGGCGGCCCACUGGUCCGGUACUGACGCUGAGGUGCGAAAGCGUGGGGAGCAAACAGG